rnacentral:rRNA from 1 species
GACGAACGCUGGCGGCGUGCUUACCACAUGCAAGUCGAACGGAAAGGCCCUGCUUUUGUGGGGUGCUCGAGUGGCGAACGGGUGAGUAACACGUGAGUAACCUGCCCUUGACUUUGGGAUAACUUCAGGAAACUGGGGCUAAUACCGGAUAGGAGCUCCUGCUGCAUGGUGGGGGUUGGAAAGUUUCGGCGGUUGGGGAUGGACUCGCGGCUUAUCAGCUUGUUGGUGGGGUAGUGGCUUACCAAGGCUUUGACGGGUAGCCGGCCUGAGAGGGUGACCGGCCACAUUGGGACUGAGAUACGGCCCAGACUCCUACGGGAGGCAGCAGUGGGGAAUAUUGCACAAUGGGCGGAAGCCUGAUGCAGCAACGCCGCGUGCGGGAUGACGGCCUUCGGGUUGUAAACCGCUUUCGCCUGUGACGAAGCGUGAGUGACGGUAAUGGGUAAAGAAGCACCGGCUAACUACGUGCCAGCAGCCGCGGUGAUACGUAGGGUGCGAGCGUUGUCCGGAUUUAUUGGGCGUAAAGGGCUCGUAGGUGGUUGAUCGCGUCGGAAGUGUAAUCUUGGGGCUUAACCCUGAGCGUGCUUUCGAUACGGGUUGACUUGAGGAAGGUAGGGGAGAAUGGAAUUCCUGGUGGAGCGGUGGAAUGCGCAGAUAUCAGGAGGAACACCAGUGGCGAAGGCGGUUCUCUGGGCCUUUCCUGACGCUGAGGAGCGAAAGCGUGGGGAGCGAACAGGCUUAGAUACCCUGGUAGUCCACGCUGUAAACGGUGGGUACUAGGUGUGGGGUCCAUUCCACGGGUUCCGUGCCGUAGCUAACGCUUUAAGUACCCCGCCUGGGGAGUACGGCCGCAAGGCUAAAACUCAAAGGAAUUGACGGGGCCCCGCACAAGCGGCGGAGCAUGCGGAUUAAUUCGAUGCAACGCGUAGAACCUUACCUGGGUUUGACAUGGAUCGGGAGUGCUCAGAGAUGGGUGUGCCUCUUUUGGGGUCGGUUCACAGGUGGUGCAUGGCUGUCGUCAGCUCGUGUCGUGAGAUGUUGGGUUAAGUCCCGCAACGAGCGCAACCCUUGUUCACUGUUGCCAGCACGUUAUGGUGGGGACUCAGUGGAGACCGCCGGGGUCAACUCGGAGGAAGGUGGGGAUGACGUCAAGUCAUCAUGCCCCUUAUGUCCAGGGCUUCACGCAUGCUACAAUGGCUGGUACAGAGAGUGGCGAGCCUGUGAGGGUGAGCGAAUCUCGGAAAGCCGGUCUCAGUUCGGGUUGGGGUCUGCAACUCGACCUCAUGAAGUCGGAGUCGCUAGUAAUCGCAGAUCAGCAACGCUGCGGUGAAUACGUUCCCGGGGCU